rnacentral:rRNA from 1 species
UGGUUUGCCUUAAGUCGUUGACUCAACCUGUAAAGGAGAGAGGCGCCCAAGGUGAGGCUGAUGACUGGGAUGAAGUCGUAACAAGGUAGCCCUACCGGAAGGUGGGGCUGGAUCACCUCCUUUUAAGGAUAAGGAUAACUGUCUUAGGACGGUUUGACUAGGUUGGGCAAGCGUUUUUAGUCUUGUAUUCUAUUUCUUUUGCAUUGUUAAGCGUUGUUUCCAAAACAUUUAGUUUACGAUCAAGUAUGUUAUGUAAAUAAAUGGUAACAAGUAAAUUCACAUAUAAUAAUAGACGUUUAAGAAUAUCUGUCUUUGGUGAAGUUAACUUGCAUGGAUCAAUAAUUUACAGACCAAGUUAUUAAGAGCUAUUGGUGGAUGCCUUGGCAUUGACAGGCGAUGAAGGAUGCGUUUACCUGCAGUAAUCUUCGGCGAGCUGGUAUAAAGCUGUGACCCGGAGGUCUCCGAAUGGGGCAACCCGAUAGAUUAAUCAUCUAUCAUUAUACGCUGAAUAUAUAGGCGUAUAAGGCGACACCUGCCGAACUGAAACAUCUUAGUAAGCAGAGGAAAAUAAAUCAAAGAGAUUCCCUGAGUAGCGGCGAGCGAAAAGGGAGAAGACUAAACCGCAUUUUUAAUGUGGGGUUGUAGGGUCGAUAACAUGGGAUCUUAAGUUUUAGUCGAAUACUUCUGGAAAGUGGAACGAUACAGGGUGAUAGUCCCGUAGGCGAAAAAACAAGAGACUCUAUUCGAUACCUGAGUAGGGCUAGACACGUGAAACCUAGUCUGAAUCUGGGGAGACCACUCUCCAAGUCUAAAUACUAGUCGAUGACCUAUAGUGAACCAGUACUGUGAAGGAAAGGUGAAAAGAACCCUUGUUAAGGGAGUGAAAUAGAACCUGAAACCAGUAGCUUAUAAGCGGUCGAAGACCUAUAACU